CAGUCGAACGAGCGAGAGAGAGCUUGCUUUCUCGAGCGAGUGGCGAACGGCUGUUUAACGCGUGAGGAACCUGCCUCAAAGAGGGGGACAACAGUUGGAAACGACUGCUAAUACCGCAUAAGCCCACAGGUCGGCAUCGACCAGAGGGAAAAGGAGCAAUCCGCUUUGAGAUGGCCUCGCGUCCGAUUAGCUAGUUGGUGAGGUAAUGGCCCACCAAGGCAACGAUCGGUAGCCGGACUGAGAGGUUGAACGGCCACAUUGGGACUGAGACACGGCCCAGACUCCUACGGGAGGCAGCAGUGGGGAAUAUUGCACAAUGGGGGAAACCCUGAUGCAGCGACGCCGCGUGGAGGAAGAAGGUCUUCGGAUUGUAAACUCCUGUUGUUGAGGAAGAUAAUGACGGUACUCAACAAGGAAGUGACGGCUAACUACGUGCCAGCAGCCGCGGUAAAACGUAGGUCACAAGCGUUGUCCGGAAUUACUGGGUGUAAGGGGAGCGCAGGCGGGAAGACAAGUUGGAAGUGAAAUCUAUGGGCUCAACCCAUAAACUGCUUUCAAAACUGUUUUUCUUGAGUAGUGCAGAGGUAGGCGGAAUUCCCGGUGUAGCGGUGGAAUGCGUAGAUAUCGGGAGGAACACCAGUGGCGAAGGCGGCCUACUGGGCACCAACUGACGCUGAGGCUCGAAAGUGUGGGUAGCAAACAGGAUUAGAUACCCUGGUAGUCCA
rnacentral:rRNA from 1 species